UCCCUGGUGGCUAAGAUGGUAAAGCAUCUGCCCCCAAUGCAGGAGACCUGGGUUCAAUCCCCAGGUCAGGAAG